rnacentral:rRNA from 1 species
AGUGAACGCUGGCGGUAGGCCUAACACAUGCAAGUCGAACGGCAGCAUAGUAAGAGCUUGCUCUUACGGGUGGCGAGUGGCGGACGGGUGAGGAAUACAUCGGAAUCUACUUUUUCGUGGGGGAUAACGUAGGGAAACUUACGCUAAUACCGCAUACGACCUACGGGUUAAAGCAGGGGAUCUUCGCACCUUGCGCGAUUGUAUGAGCCGAUGUCGGAUUAGCUAGGUGGAGGGGUAAAGGCCCACCAAGGCAACGAUCCGUAGCCGCUCUGACAGGAUGGGCGGCAACAGUGGAACUUAGAGAAGGUGCAGACUCCUACGGGAGGCACGAGUAGGGAAUAGUGAGCAAGGGGCGCAAGCUGGACGGAGAAAUGCAGAGGGAGUGAAGAAGGUCUUCGGAUAGUAAAACGGUGUUAUUAGGGAAGAAAAAAUGUGUAAGUAAAUAUGCAUGUCUUGACGGUAACUAAUAAGAAAGCAACGGCUAACUACGUG